UCUGUGACAGCACCUCCUCCCCCCUUCAGGGUCUGCUCCUGCUCUUUGGUGCCUCAGGAAGACCGCAGCGGCUUGCCAGGCAUCAGUAGCCAUGACUGUAGACUGUUACUGUGCUUUCAAACAGUCUUAGCAGUAAGCAGUCUAGAGCCAAGGUGUUGAUGCGCUGACCAUUGUCAUGGCGGCUUGGGAGACGGGCCACCAACUGCCUUAGACAUGCCAUGGAGGCCGCAUCCCCAUGACAGAUACCCGUCUAGCUUCCGCGCUCCUCCCGUUGUUGAUGGUGCUGUCUCUCAAACUCACACUGCGAGCCAGCAGCACUGUCAAACAAAACGUCAUUCACUGCCGCUCUUCAUGAAAAGAAGCACGAGCUGUGUUGACAGAGAAGCUUUGUUCCACACUAACACUCCAUUAGCAGCAGAACAUGAUCCAAUUCGCUCGGUAACCGCUGGCUUCACGCCUGCCCCCUACAGGCAGAGACCUGCAAACCACACGUGUUGCAGCUGUGCAGGUCACAGGGACCAGGCUCACUGUACUGCAGUGAUGCACAGGGAAAAUGGAAGAAAGCUUUUCAGUCUGUUUAUCAUCUAUUGUACAGAAACUCCAAUGUGACACAGACGCCAUAGAGGAACUCCAUCCCACACUGAGAUACGAUGUCCCUGAGCAGCAAGUUUAAAUUCAAAAUGGGCUGCCCAGUGGAGCUACUGGAUGGAAUAACUGAAGAUUACAGAGACCUACGAUCGCCACGUGCUCCACGAUCUUCAAAGGUUCCAGCAACAUUGACCUUUGAGCGGCACUCUCGGCCAUUAUCAAACUAACCAAGAUUUUCAUUUUUUACAACUAGCAAUUUAAUAUAUACAGUGAAUACCUCGCUAAGGAGUUCAAACCUGAGCCUUAAAAUGCUAAAUACGUUCUUCACAAGGCUCUUCCCUCAUUUUCUAAACCGGCCGCUUUCCAUGUGCGCCAAAGUGAGUCACACUGCAGUAACUCUGAGGUCUUCCGCAAUCCCCCGUAUUCCCACGAAAUGGCACGCAGCACAAAAUAAGCAUCUUUCUGUUUAGAACAGGUCAUUACAUCUAUGCAAAUAUUGCAUAUUUUAACAUAUUAAUAUGCUAACCUAUGACCAUAUAUCACACUUAUCGUAUGUUGUAAAUAACGUCACACUGACGAAAUAUUAAUUGGCUGGAAGAAUAAAAAUAAAAUUAACGCCAUAGGAACUUACCUCCGUUUCCUUUUGAGUUCCAAAGAGGAGAAAUAUGCUGUUUCUCUUUGCAAGAAACAGUGACACUAUUCGUAUUAUUUCGGUUAAGAAAAAUAGAUGUUAAAGAUAUUGUGUUAUAACCAGAGAAUCGCCGCAGCAUUACUGUAUAUUCUGGCUCUGCUUCCCGGGUUCUACCUCUAUUUUAUCCUCGCGUCUCUAUAUCUGCCUUGUGGAAACUUGAGAAUUUGAGACAGUUUCCAAUUGCAAGCUUUUUAUAGAGAUCCUGUACUACUAGUAAGCGGUAUGGGAGGGGGACUCAUUCACGAAAAGCAUCGCCGAGCUGUACGUGGCCUUCUACGUCACAGAGGAAUUUUAGUCGACUGAAGACGAUGCUAUUAAUAAUGCCAGGGUUCCUAGCGGAGAAAAGGGAGAUGGAACAUGCGCCGGUAACACAUUGUUAAAAAAACACAAACGGAUGUAAAGAACAACUUAAUUCAGUCAGUUACCUGUAAUUAUUUUAAUCGACUGAAUGAUAUUUUUUAGCUAUUUUUGCCUGCCAAAAUAAUUUUACUUAAUUUUGCAUUUACAUUAUUCAUCCAAAUUAAAAAAAAUAAAAAUAAAACACACUAUAUACGCUCAAACUCUGUCAGGUGCUGUCCGAGUUUUCAAUUUUGUCUCAAUCAAUCGGAAAUCUGAAGUAAGACUACUCUUUGAAAAUCAUACAGAUACUGUCUGGUUAUUUAUUGGCCUACGUCCUCGGGGAUUAAGGGAAAACCUUAAUCCUGGAUUUUCGCGCACACGAAAAUGUUGAUAUUCGCCUGGUUUAUAUGUGGCAAAUCGUCAGAGGAUUAACCCAGAAUGGCGAUUUUGGGGUUUGGCCUUGUACGCAUUCACUCCCAUCGAUACGUCAGACCGAGACGCGCACGCUGUCUUUUCAUAAGUGGAACAGUAAUGCGCUAGGAGGGCACUUAAAUAACGUUCAUUACGCGCAAGCUUCAAAUUCGCCCAAGAAACCUGUUGUGAGCAGCACAUUCUGGACAGGAUGCCACUUCAUCGCAAGGCUCACACAUGCACCGAUGGAAGACGCCAAUUCGCCUGGCUUCGCGUCUUGAACUGCGAAAGCAAAAUCGUGCAGCAUGUGUAUGGAGAACAUGCACAUAGGAGUGGGAUUCGAACCUACAACCCCGAAUACGUGAGGCAACUUGAGACACAGUGCCGUCCUUUAGUUUACUUAAAAAGAGAUGCUAUUCUAUAGAUUUUUAACAGAAGUACCAUAAUACACCCAUAUAAUUUAAAAAUUCAUGUUGUUCAGCACGUGCGCCUUGGAGAUAGAUGAUGCAGACAGAAAGAGAAGAGCAGAGGAGCCGACGGGAUAGUUCAUUGUCUCCUGGUAGCAUAUAUAACGUCACUUUUUCCAUAAACUAAUGCAAACAUUCCGUGACAUGUAUUAAAAUAUAAAUAUGGUUAUCACGCAUGA